rnacentral:rRNA from 1 species
UACGGAGGGUGCAAGCGUUAUCCGGAUUUAUUGGGCUUAAAGGGUCCGUAGGCGGAUCUGUAAGUCAGUGGUGAAAUCUCACAGCUUAACUGUGAAACUGCCAUUGAUACUGCAGGUCUUGAGUAAGGUAGAAGUAGCUGGAAUAAGUAGUGUAGCGGUGAAAUGCAUAGAUAUUACUUAGAACACCAAUUGCGAAGGCAGGUUACUAUGUCUUAACUGACGCUGAUGGACGAAAGCGUGGGGAGCGAACAGG